GGAAAUCCCCACGGGGAUUGUAAUCGUAGAGAGGUAGGGUCCGGCGGGCGGGGGUUAAGUGCAGCGGCAGAGGGGCGGCCACAGAGGGGUGACAGCCCGCGUGGACCCUCCCUCUAACGCCCUCAUCCCAGAUCUCCAAGAGUCGAGUUGUUUGGGAAUGCAGCUCUAAGUGGGUGGUAAAUUCCAUCUAAAGCUAAAUACCGGCGAGAGACCGAUAGCGAACAAGUACAGUGAUGGAAAGAUGAAAAGCACUUUGAAAAGAGAGUGAAAAAGUACGUGAAAUGGUUGAAAGGGAAGGGCUGGCAAGCAGACACUUAACGGGGCCAGCAUCGGGGCGGCGGGGAGACAAAACCACCGGGGAAUGUACCUUUCGAGGAUUAUAACCCCGGUCUCAAUCCCACAGCCAGCCCCGAGGCAGUGCAAU
rnacentral:rRNA from 1 species